UAGGGAAUAUUGGACAAUGGGUGCAAGCCUGAUCCAGCAACGCCGCGUGAAGGAUGAAGUAUUUCGGUAUGUAAACUUCGAAAGAAUAGGAAGAAUAAAUGACGGUACUAUUUAUAAGGUCCGGCUAACUACGUGCCAGCAGCCGCGGUAAUACGUAGGGACCAAGCGUUGUUCGGAUUUACUGGGCGUAAAGGGCGCGUAGGCGGCAAUUCAAGUCAUCUGUGAAAUCUCCGGGCUUAACUCGGAACGGUCAGAUGAUACUGUAGAUCUCGAGUCCGGAAGAGGUGAGUGGAAUUCCUAGUGUAGAGGUGAAAUUCGUAGAUAUUAGGAAGAACACCAGUGGCGAAGGCGGCUCACUGGUCCGGUACUGACGCUGAGGUGCGAAAGCGUGGGAGCAAACAGGAUUAGAUACCCCAGUAGUCCCUGAGCGGGCUGGCAAGGCGCAU
rnacentral:rRNA from 1 species